CAAGGAUCGGCUAUUGACGGGGUUUAAAGAUCCCGCUCAACUCAUGCAUAGAUGAGGAGCAUACAUGGGAGAUUCUAGAGGUCAUCCCACUCAACUCGUUUGUGGAUGAGUAGUGUGCAUCGAAAAAUCUUGGAGAUGCAUUUCGCUUGGCUCAUCUGUGAAUGAAGAGCGUGCAUGAGAGAGUUUGGGAGAUUCAUUCCACUUAACUCAUCCGC
rnacentral:lncRNA from 1 species